AAUAGAAUCAGUCAUAAAAGAGGUCCAAAUAUAUCAUCGAUGUACAUAGUCAGCUUGAUUGCAAAGUCAAGUUUGCACAUAAAAGAUUGUCACAUUGACCUCAUUACUAGUCUAAACAUUGUUUGGUCAUGCAGACCUCAAGUACUACAAAAGCAUGUCAUACGGAUGCAAACUCAUCAAAGAUCAAGUGUUUUCUUGCUUCUAAUUUCUAUGGCCGGACUAGAAGGGGAACUAGGGACCCUGCUGCGGGUUGACAUGGCUGGACUAGUCUUGUUUGGAGUAAGUUUUGGCAUUUGUCUUCUUGUGAUGCUCCUGACGUGUGCUCUGGUCAGCCAUGUACUGCUCAUUUGACUCAUAAGGAUAUGUAAUCGCCAAAGGAUCUAGCUGAUUUGAACCUGUUGCAGACCCUCUAAUAAAGAAAACAUUAGUAAACCUAUUAAAGUAGUAAAAAUAUAAUUUUAAAAAAUUAUCUUACCUCACAGAGGGGUCACUAGCCUCAGCUGUUGAAGUAUUGGAAGUACUCUUUUGUUUCUUCGCACCAGUUGAUGAGGAUGAUUUGUUCUUCCUUUUCUUUGAUAGAUCCGCAAUAGUAAGUAGAACUGGAAAGACCAUCCUUUGUGCAUGUGUUGCAGGCAUAAUAUUGGCCUCAGUAGUUAUCGGCGUUUUACCGCUACGCCCACUGAGGGAUACCUCUGAGGUGGUAAGUUGGUAGAUAGGGUGUCGCCGAGAUCAAUAACUUGAAGGUGCAAGGAACACAAGGUUGGUUUGAGCCCCCGAGAGCGUAAUACCCUACGUCCUGUGUGGUUUGUAUUUUCUUAGGUGGUGAUUAGGUGAUCUCCUAUUUGGCGAGGGUUCUAUCCACCCUUAUAUAGUUCGGGGUAAAGGUUUAUAUGUAAGUCCUAGUCGGGUACAAGCCCAGGAGUCCUACCCGAGUACUUUUCGGGUAGUUUCCUACCGUGUCUGACUAGUUUCACUAGUGUAUGAGUAGUCCUACUGCACUACUGCACUAUGAGUAGUUACAAUAGAUGUAGGGCGUGGACCAUAUCCCAUCCCUUAUCCUAGGAAAAGUGUUGUAUGCAUGGUCCCGUGACCCCAGGUCUGACAGUAGUAGCUGGUGCUAUCUUCUUUUUAGGUGGACCU
rnacentral:lncRNA from 1 species